UACGGAGGGUGCAAGCGUUGUCCGGAAUCAUUGGGCGUAAAGAGUUCGUAGGUGGCAUGUUAAGUCUGGUGUUAAAGGCCGAAGCUCAACUUCGGUAAGGCACUGGAUACUGGCAAGCUUGAAUGCGGUAGAGGUAAAGGGAAUUCCUGGUGUAGCGGUGAAAUGCGUAGAUAUCAGGAGGAACAUCGGUGGCGUAAGCGCUUUACUGGGCCGUAAUUGACACUGAGGAACGAAAGCCGGGGUAGCAAAUGGG
rnacentral:rRNA from 1 species